CAGUAGGUCCUGAACGAAUUGUGUCUUC
rnacentral:piRNA from 1 species